CGUUGAUUUAGAACCGAAUCGCGUAACCUUGGGGUUCUGGAGUAUAGUCUCUCCUCUUCUCUUCGUUUAGGUUUUAGGGUCUCUUGAUUAUCUUUCUCACAGUGAACCAAAAGUUCAUGAAGAUUAAAGUGAGAAACGGAGAGAAACAACACAUGACCUAGUUGUUAUGUGAAGAUUCAAAGCUAUUAUUGAAGAUCCGAAGCUUCUAUUUCGAAGAGUUGGAAGUAAUAGAGAAGAUUUUUGUUGUGUUUUAUGCGUUUUGUCUGUAAGAAGAUCAAGUGCCUAAUAAUGGCUCCUGCAUCUAAAGAUAAUUUUAUCAGAUUCAAGGGUUUUUGAUAGUUUGUUAGUUUGGAUGUUGAUUUGUGUCUUGGGUUUAGAUAUAAUUAAGUUGUAAAUGUGUGUGUUUGUGCUUUCAUUUUCGUAUUUAAUAGUUUGCUUGUGUGUUGCAGGGUGUUUGCAGUUGUUACUGGUACAAAGAAACGAAUCUGGCAUGAGAUUAUUGGAAGAUUGGCUCUUGAAUGUGUGACUGUCGUGCUAACAGCUAGAGAUAAAAAGAUAGGAUCAAAUACAGUAUCAUUGCUUGUCAAAUGUGGGUUGGAGAAUGUCUUUUUCUACCAGCUUGAUGUUCAAGAUCAAUCUAGUGCUGAUUCCUUAGCUAAUAUGUCCAAACCCAAUUUGGGUGGCUCGAUAUCUUGGGUUCCAUUUGGUGGAAGAUGUUGCUUUCCUUUUCUUCAAAAUGCCACGAAUGGUACCCGAACUAUCAAAGAGAGGAUUGGAUGGAAGCUUUAAAACAAAGCCGACUUCAUAAAGGAUGGUCGACCAUGCGAUAUAAUGUUUACCGCUGGGAGCAAUCAGGAAGAAAUGCUCUGACAUGAAGAGAAUCAUAACCUGCGCAGAAUCAGCAUUCAUGAAGUUUUUAUAAAGACUGUGAUUGGGGUACUUGGAGAGCUCCAAAUUGGAUGAAAUGCCCAGUGGCGGUGUCAUUUGUAUCAUGUAAACAUAGUCAGCCAGCUACCAAUCCACCUACCGGAAGUUCCGAGGAUACCGGGAUUACUCGACCUUCCCUUGCGUAUUUCUUUUUGAGGAAGUGAAGGGAGCUGUUGCAAUUUCUUUUGUUGAUUUUAUUAUUGCCACCUAGUAAUGCCUAAUGUAACUGCCUCCUUAGUGAAAUAAUGGAUCCAAGUGGGAUGUUGUACGAUGUAAAUUUGUAAUACUUCGGAGAUGUUUCGCUAGGUUGAUUAGCCGGUCAAAAACCUCUGUAAUCCUAUAGGAGAGACCUAACUAAAAUGCAGUUCAAGUGGCGGUUUCAGUAGAUUGAGUGUUUCGGAUCAUAUUUUUCGGUGCAUGAUGAAUUUAUCCUUUUUUUUGUUGUUUGUUAUGUAAAACUGAAUUCACCUUUUAAAUACAAUGUAUAUCUGAUUUCACAUUCUA